UACGUAGGUGGCGAGCGUUAUCCGGAAUGAUUGGGCGUAAAGGGUGCGUAGGCGGGCAUUUAAGCCGGCGGUCAAAUGUCGGGGCUCAACCCCGGCCUGCCGUCGGAACUGGGUGCCUUGAGUGGGCGAGAAGUAUGCGGAAUGCGUGGUGUAGCGGUGAAAUGCAUAGAUAUCGCGCAGAACUCCGAUUGCGAAGGCAGCCUGCCGGCCCCACACUGACGCUGAGGCACGAAAGCGUGGGUAUCGAACAGG
rnacentral:rRNA from 1 species